ensembl:snRNA U6 U6 spliceosomal RNA
GUACUUGCUUUGAAGGCAUAUACACUAAAUUUGGAAUGAUACAGAAAAGAUUAGCAUGGCUCCUGCACAAGGAUGACAGGCAAAUUUGUGACAUGUUCCAUAUUUAA